UGCUUUACACACGCAAGUCGAGCGGCAGCGCGGGGGCAACCCUGGCGGCGAGCGGCGAACGGGUGAGUAAUGUAUCGGAACGUACCCUGUCGUGGGGGAUAACACAGCGAAAGCUGUGCCAAUACCGCAUACGACCUGAGGGUGAAAGCGGGGGAUCGCAAGACCUCGCGCGAUAGGAGCGGCCGAUAUCGGAUUAGCUUGUUGGUGAGGUAAAGGCUCACCAAGGCGACGAUCCGUAGCUGGUCUGAGAGGACGACCAGCCACACUGGAACUGAGACACGGUCCAGACUCCUACGGGAGGCAGCAGUGGGGAAUUUUGGACAAUGGGGGCAACCCUGAUCCAGCCAUUCCGCGUGAGUGAAGAAGGCCUUCGGGUUGUAAAGCUC
rnacentral:rRNA from 1 species